GCAGGUAUAGCUCAAGUGGUAGAGUGCAUGCUUAUGAUGCAUGAGGUCCUGGGUUCAAUCCCCAGUACCUCCU
rnacentral:tRNA from 1 species